UACGGAGGGUGCAAGCGUUAUCCGGAUUCACUGGGUUUAAAGGGUGCGUAGGUGGGUUGGUAAGUCAGUGGUGAAAUCUCUGGGCUUAACCCGGAAAUUGCCAUUGAUACUAUAUAUCUUGAAUGUUGUGGAGGUAAGCGGAAUAUGUCAUGUAGCGGUGAAAUGCUUAGAUAUGACAUAGAACACCUAUUGCGAAGGCAGCUUACUACGCAGAUAUUGACGCUCAUGCACGAAAGCUUGGGGAUCAAACAGG
rnacentral:rRNA from 1 species